AUCAUUAAAGAUUAUGAAUGAAUAGAUUACUGGGGGAAUCGUCUGAACAAGGCCUGCGCUUAAUUGCGCGGCCAGUUCUUGAUUCUCUGCUAUCAGUUUUCUAUUUCUCAUCCUAAACACAAUGGAGUUUUUUCUCUAUGAACUACUUCCCUGGAGAGCUCGUCUCUCCAGUGGACAUAAACACAAACAAUAUUUUGUAUUAUGAAAAACUAUUAUACUAUAAAAUUUAAUAUUCAAAACUUUCAACAACGGAUCUCUUGGUUCUCGCAUCGAUGAAGAACGCAGCGAAUUGCGAUAUGUAUUGUGAAUUGCAGAUUUUCGUGAAUCAUCAAAUCUUUGAACGCACAUUGCGCCCUCUGGUAUUCCAGGGGGCAUGCCUGUUUGAGCGUCAUUUCUCUCUCAAACCUUUGGGUUUGGUAGUGAGUGAUACUCGUCUCGGGUUAACUUGAAAGUGGCUAGCCGUUGCCAUCUGCGUGAGCAGGGCUGCGUGUCAAGUCUAUGGACUCGACUCUUGCACAUCUACGUCUUAGGUUUGCGCCAAUUCGUGGUAAGCUUGGGUCAUAGAGACUCAUAGGUGUUAUAAAGACUCGCUGGUGUUUGUCUCCUUGAGGCAUACGGCUUUAACCAAAACUCUCAAAGUUUGACCUCAAAUCAGGUAGGAGUACCCGCUGAACUUAA
rnacentral:rRNA from 1 species